rnacentral:rRNA from 1 species
CCUACGGGAGGCUGCAGUGGGGGAUAUUGGACAAUGGGGGAAACCCUGAUGCAGCGACGCCGCGUGAGGGAAGAAGUAUCUCGGUACGUAAAGCUCUAUCAGCAGGGAAGAAAAUGACGGUACCUGACUAAGAAGCCCCGGCUAACUACGUGCCAGCAGCCGCGGUAAUCCGUAGGGGGCAAGCGUUAUCCGGCUUUACUGGGUGUAAAGGGAGCGUAGACGGCAGCACACGUCUGGAGUGAAAUCUCGGGGGGUAACCCCGGUACUGCUGUGGAAACAGUGCGGCUGGAGUGCAGGAGGGGUAAGCGGAAUUCCUAGUGUAGCGGUGAAAUGCGUAGAUAUUAGGAGGAACACCGGUGGCGAAGGCGGCUUACUGGACUGUAACUGACGUUGAGGCUCGAAAGCGUGGGGAGCAAACAGGAUUAGAUACCCGUGUAGUC